rnacentral:lncRNA from 1 species
GUGUCCUAUGUGGGCUAAGACAUGCUGAAAUUAUCGCAGUGGCAAUGGAUAUUACUCCUCCCUUGGUUGCCCUUGUGUUAUGUGCUUCCUGUCCUGAAGCCUUGGUUGGUCUUAAUAUUUGAGUACCUAUAUGUUCUACGUUUCCAGCCGAUGCUGUAACCUUUCUAUGACAAAUUGGUCAACUGAGAGAUAUAACUCACAAAUAGUCCUUGUGCAGUAACAUUGUCUCCUUUCUAUGACAAAUUGGUCAACUGAGAGAUAUAACUCACAAAUAGUCCUUGUGCAGUAACAUUGUCUUCUUUCAACGUAUAAACAAGCUUGUCGCUUGUUUUUUUUUU